UGGGUGACCUGCCCUCAGCUCUGGGAUAAAGCCGGGGAAACUGGGUCUAAUACCGGAUAUGACCUCUCAUCGCAUGGUGGGUGGUGGAAAGUUUUUUCGGCUGGGGAUGGGCCCGCGGCCUAUCAGCUUGUUGGUGGGGUGAUGGCCUACCAAGGCGACGACGGGUAGCCGGCCUGAGAGGGCGUCCGGCCACACUGGGACUGAGACACGGCCCAGACUCCUACGGGA
rnacentral:rRNA from 1 species